UGAGGAAUAUUGGUCAAUGGGCGGGAGCCUGAACCAGCCAAGCCGCGUGAAGGAAGAAGGCGCCAGGCGUCGUAAACUUCUUUUGUCGGGGAACAAAGGGCGCCACGCGUGGCGUUGUGAGUGUACCCGAAGAAAAAGCAUCGGCUAACUCCGUGCCAGCAGCCCGGUAAUAUCGUGCU
rnacentral:rRNA from 1 species